UUCCAUUUUCCACUUACAGUCUUUGAAAAGCUGACAUUGUUGACGCUGUAUUUGACAGCAACAAUUCUUGGGAAAUUCAACAAUUCAGUUGUUUGUGACCGAAAGCAAACUCCGAUUUUAUAUACGGAAUGAAGGCUCCAAUUUUCCUUCUGUGUUUGCUGAUUGGAGUACAAAGCUCUUUAUUUAUCUCAUUGAGAACGCAGCCCCGACCAGGUGAAUCAUAGAAGCCGUUGCAGCUUCUAGGGACCAUGAUAGGUAAAGAACUGAAGAAAUUUUCCUAAAGUCCAGUCACGAGAAUCAUUCCAAUAGGUAAUUUUCCCAUAGGAGUCUACCUAAAAGCUUUGAGUCUUGGAACUGAGUUUGAAACAAGGCUUGAAAAUAUUAAACAAUUAUCAACUUUGGAAUACUUUAACUGUUUCUUCAAAGAUAUCAAGAAAUGCACUGGAAAAGAUGUGGAAGAAUACAUAGUAUCUCUGGAUGAAUUCGGUAAACUUCUUGCGCAGUCACUUUGGAAUUGCAGAAAUCUCGCUAUUGAAAUGUGUAAUGAGCUAUCAACUUUACGCAGAGAUUAUCUUGCCAAUGUGGAUUGCUACGUGGAUAUGAUUGAAGGAGCCUAUUCUGCUUGUAGAGAAAAGGCCGAUUCGGACACUGAGGCAUUUUUAAGAAAAUAUCAUAAUCUAACAGAAGACGAAGAUGUUAACUGGGGGGGAACAGGGCUGUUUAGGGGAAGUGUAUGAAUUGGCUUGCUUGGCCGAAAAAUUGGAAGACAGCUGCAGUGAAGCUGCGAGAAGAGCAUUCCUAAAUAUUCGUGAAAAAGUCAAUCCAUCUUUGCAUUCAGCAUGUGAUGUAGAAGACCCUAUGAGUUUUAGACGAUCAUUUUUUGAACAUUUGGGAUUGGUAGGCAAAAAAGCUGAGAUUUAUCGGUUUGUAUUUGAAAGAUUCUGUAGGAAAUAGGACAAGGACUCUUUUGAAUAUCCAACUAUGACAAUAGAUUUUUGACUUAUAAAAAUAUAAACUGUUUUCUGCUUUCUAGAAAUUUUUAAUAAAAGUUUAUUCUUAAAUAGGCAAAAUAGAAAACAUGGUUUCAAACUGCAUGUCACAAAUAAUUUGUGCUAUAAU